AAGUCUCGCAACCACUUCAGUAUGAAUGGUGAAGCUGCACAAGAAAACUCUGGUAUAGCAUUAACAAAGUUAGGACAGCCGCAGAGAGAAAGAGAGACAGAGAAAGCGCACACAUGGUUUCCUGAUGUGAUGAUUUUUAUUCUGCAGUGCAAAAGAUUGAAAGUGAAAGAACAUGUUUCAGCGCUGGUGUAGAUGUUGCGCCUCGCAAAUGUUGGCAGUUGAAAAAGAAAAAGACGUGCAAAGUUUGCGUCCGACCGCCAGUGAUGUGGGUUUGCAGUGAAGACUUUCUGAUGAAGAGGAGGAUGAAGACAGAUAAACUGUGCUACGGCGCAGGAUUGAGAAACGUCUCACCACAGGACCAUCAUGCUGGUUUCUACCACAUUUACCCAUCCUGACAACUGAUGGGGAAACCACCUCAGCAAAGCUCAUCAGGUAGGAGUUAACAUUUGACAUAUGGCUGAGUCAGUUUGGGGUCAUGACAUCAUCAUCAUGAGAUGGGGCGGGUGCUGAGUGGCGUCCGCAGGCAGCGACAGAAGACGUGCUGUAUGCCCUUGUUUGCAGCUGCUGCUUCUUGGCAAAAA